rnacentral:rRNA from 1 species
AUUGAACGCUGGCGGAAUGCUUUACACAUGCAAGUCGAACGGUAGAGGGGGCAACCCCUCGAGAGUGGCGAACGGGUGAGUAAUAUAUCGGAACGUGCCCAGUCGUGGGGGAUAACGUAGCGAAAGUUACGCUAAUACCGCAUACGAUCUAAGGAUGAAAGCGGGGGAUCGCAAGACCUCGCGCGAUUGGAGCGGCCGAUAUCAGAUUAGGUAGGUGGUGGGGUAAAGGCUCACCAAGCCAACGAUCUGUAGCUGGUCUGAGAGGACGACCAGCCACACUGGAACUGAGACACGGUCCAGACUCCUACGGGAGGCAGCGGUGGGGAAUUUUGGACAAUGGACGCAAGUCUGAUCCAGCCAUUCCGCGUGCAGGAUGAAGGCCCUCGGGUUGUAAACUGCUUUUGUACGGAACGAAACGGCGAGCUCUAAUACAGUUUGCUAAUGACGGUACCGUAAGAAUAAGCACCGGCUAACUACGUGCCAGCCGCCGCGGUAA